AGAACGAGCGCUGGCGGCAGGCUUAACACAUGCAAGUCGAACGCUCGUAGCAAUACGGGAGUGGCGGACGGGUGAGUAACGCGUGGGAACGUGCCCUGAGGUUGGGAAUAACUGCGGGAAACUGCAGCUAAUACCUGAUGAGCCCCGAGAGGGGGAAAGAUUUAUCGCCUUAGGAGCGGCCCGCGUCGGAUCAGCUAGUUGGUGAGGUAACGGCUCACCAAGGCUAUGACGGGUAGCUGGUCUGAGAGGACGACCAGUCACACUGGAACUGAGACACGGUCCAGACACCGUACGGGUGGCAGCAGUCGAGUAAUUUUCUCAAGUGGGGG
rnacentral:rRNA from 1 species